GACGAACGCUGGCGGCGUGCUUAACACAUGCAAGUCGAACGAUGAAGCUGGAGCUUGCUCCGGUGGAUUAGUGGCGAACGGGUGAGUAACACGUGAGCAAUCUGCCCUUGACUCUGGGAUAACUGCGGGAAACUGUAGCUAAUACCGGAUAUGAGCUCUGAAGGCAUCUUCGGGUUUGGCACGACUUUCGGUCAAGGAUGAGCUCGCGGCCUAUCAGCUAGUGGGUGAGGUAAUGGCUCACCAAGGCGACGACGGGUAGCCGGCCUGAGAGGGUGACCGGCCACACUGGAACUGAGACACGGUCCAGACUCCUACGGGAGGCAGCAGUGGGGAAUAUUGCACAAUGGGCGAAAGCCUGAUGCAGCAACGCCGCGUGAGGGAUGAAGGCCUUCGGGUUGUAAACCUCUUUUAGCAGGGAAGAAGCGAAAGUGACGGUACCUGCAGAAAAAGCACCGGCUAACUACGUGCCAGCCGCCGCCGUAA
rnacentral:rRNA from 1 species